ensembl:lncRNA
AUUCCACUCCCUGGUACAGCGCUGCCCGUCAUCUGUCCACGUCCGCGUGUGCCGGUCCAUGUCUACAUCUAGAUCUGCGUCUCCAUGAACUGAAUCCUGUGGUCAGAGAAGUCAGGUGGGCUACAGUCCACGGAUUCACACAACCACCGGGCACAAUGGAGAAACUGAGUCCACACGAGCAACGACAGGUCUCACGGACACCUCCCGAGGCCCGAGGCUUACGUACCUAUUCAUUGCACACAUCGCAGUGUCUUGUGGCAUCUGCCUUCUCUGGCUCACUUCGCUCAGUGUGGCCGUCUCUAGGUCCAUCCAUGUUGCUGCAGGUGGCAUUCUCCAUUCCUCUCUGUGACUGACUGAUAUCCCGCUGAGUACAGGCACCGCAUCUCCUUUACCCGUCACGUUCCUUCUAUUGAAAACAAUCCGAAGAAAGAGUGACUUUAUGUAUGCGUAUAGGUGCACCACUUUUCUGUACACCUGAAACCCAAAACUGCAAAUCAACUACACUCAAUACAAUUUUGGAGUGAAACUAUAAAAAAAAUAAUAAAACUUACUCCAAUAAAAAAGAAAUACAAG